rnacentral:rRNA from 1 species
UACCUGCAGCCCAAGUGGUGACUGUUAUUAUUGGGCCUAAAACGUCCGUAGCCGGUUCUGUAAAUGCCUGGGUAAAUCGUACGGCUUAACCGUACGAAUUCCGGGUAGACUGCAGGGCUUGAGAUCGGGAGAGGCUAGAGGUACUCCUGGGGUAGAGGUGAAAUUCUGUAAUCCUAGGGGGACCACCAGUGGCGAAGGCGUCUAGCUAGAACGAGUCUGACGGUCAGGGACGAAGCCCUGGGGCGCAAACGGG